rnacentral:rRNA from 1 species
GAUGAACGCUGGCGGCGUGCCUAAUACAUGCAAGUCGAGCGAACAGACGAGGAGCUUGCUCCUCUGACGUUAGCGGCGGACGGGUGUGUAACACGUGGAUAACCUACCUGUAAGACUGGGAUAACUUCGGGAAACCGGCGCUAAUACCGGAUAAUAUAUUGAACCGCAUGGUUCAAUAGUGAAAGACGGUUUUGCUGUCACUUAUAGAUGGAUCCGCGCCGCAUUAGCUAGUUGGUAAGGUCACGGCUUACCAAGGCAACGAUGCGUAGCCGACCGGAGAGACUGGUCGGCCACACUGGAGCGGAGACACGGUCCAGACUCCUACGGGAGGCAGCAGUAGGGAAUCGUCCGCAAUGGGCGAAAGCCUGACGGAACGACGCCGCGUGAGUGAUGAAGGUCUUCGGAUCGUAAAACUCUGUUAUGAGGGAAGAACAAAUGUGUAAGUAACUAUGCACGUCUUGACGGUACCUAAUCAGAAAGCCACGGCUAACUACGUG